AAAAUAAUGCAAUUGCUUCCAACGGAUUAUUAUAUCUUUUAGCGUGAGGACGCCAGUCUAGCUUGGGAAGAUGACAUUCCGUCCAAUGUUGGUGAUGUGUGUGGUGCUGAUGCUCGUCGCGGUUGGGCUUUGCCAAGGUCCCAAGAGCGCGAAAAAGAAUGGAUUUGAAGACGUAGGCGGGCUGUCUGCGGCUGCUGAAAUCGAAGGCAUCUAUUAGAUAUUCCGGAUAAUCACCUGAAACUGUUAAAUUCAGCUUCCAUUUAAAUAAAUUUGUACAAGGGUGCA